ACUGUUCCUGCUCUGUGGAUCCUGCCUGUCUAUUUGGGACCCUGACCCACAGCAGGCUGGGGCAUGUGACUUUCCUUGGCUGCUUUGCUAACCUUGAGGGAACAUAGGACACAGGAGACGAGAGUGUUCCCGAAUCAUCCCUGCUCCUCAGCUGGAGAUCCUGAGCCAUGUGCCAUCCUUUCCAUGGGACUGGCAUAGAUGGGCUGUGGUUUACUCCUCAGUGCCCAGCAGAGUACAAGUCUCCAGCUAUAAUGGCACUUGCAGGACCAAGAAUAACAUGGAGAACACAAGUGUCUGAGCCGUGUCCUGGAGCAGCAUGAGGGGCAUGGUCCUCCCUGGUGCAACUGCUUCCUAUGCUGGCAGGCAGUUCCUCCCCGGUACAUUAAUGCGCUUGUUAAACCUUUACAAAUUGCGCUUGUUUCACCAAAUGCUGGAAGGCUUGAGGGGAGGUGAGUUGUGGGUGCUGCUUGUAGUGCUGAGCAGCAUCUCCAGCAGCGAGCACACAGGGUGACUGCACUCUUCAGUCAUACUGUCCAGAUCAAUAUAUUGAACUUGAUAGAAGCUGCCUCCUUGGUAGAAGUCUCUUUCAAAUGUAGACAUCCCCAUUUGCAGCUGAAACAAGCUCUUGACAGCUGGAUGGUCUCCCUGGGCUAAUGCCCUGCUUCUGGGUAGCCAGGUCACUGCCAGUGUGGCAGGGCACUGCGCAGCACUUGCUCCCUUUGCAUGUGGCUUUUGGUCUGGAAACUGCUGCAAUGAUGCAGCCCCUCACACGGUCUCAUUGAUUGCUGGUAUCAAAUACACUAGCAACUUGCUCAGAUUUCCUUGAUGGAUUUUUUGUAAUCAAGUCCAUCUCUUCAUCUAUCUUGUUUAAUCAAUUUUAUUGUCCAAUAGGGCAGAGCUGCUUGUGGGCAGGUAUAACUCUGAUAUUGAAGUAGCCUUGGAGCAUGAAUCAAAGGGAAGAAGAGACCCUGGGUGUAAAGAAGCUUCUGUUCAUCCUACUAAGAUCUUAACAUUGUUUGGUAACAAAAUAUUUAAUGCACUUUUAGUUAAAGAAACAUCUCUGUGAAAUUAAAACAAUAAACAGCUGCUGAUGGCUUAAUAGCCUAAGUGUAGCUGGGGCAUUCAAUCAA